rfam:Balearica pavonina gibbericeps contig20550, whole genome shotgun sequence.
AAAAAGGAUCUUUUGUUAAAAGAUCCAUUAUUACAGUCAGAAAAAAGUAGU